rnacentral:pre_miRNA from 1 species
UUUGAAAUGGCGCAGUCCCUAUUCAACGGCGGUUUGAUUAGGCCUUGCUUCAUUUCAAAU